CAAUUUUCACUCUAGCAGAAGGUAGUUUCGGACUUUGCCGAUUAUUACAAAUGAGGCCUUAUCACUGAAGUUUGUAACAUCCGAUAUCAGCGGAUAACUGCCAUUGCAUUUAGCGACAGCUGUAAACAGAAUGGCAGAAGAACCUUUUGAGAGGACGGAAAAGAAACCCGAGCCUGUCAGCAUUACCUCCCCUGAAAUGUAAGAAACUGGUGGAUUCCAAGACAAAAUUGUGGAAAAUGGAGACAUCUUCAAAUAACAGAAAGAAAUAAAGGCUGAAGAGGCAGGAUCACAGAUGUCAGAUGAAAGUUACCGCAAAAAAGGUUAAGUUGGAAAAGAGUGAAAAUGAAAAUGGAUGCUUGUGCAGUGACUGAAGUUGAAGUCAUAAAUUGAGGAUGAUGAAGCUACACGAAAAAGCUCUCAG
rnacentral:lncRNA from 1 species